CACGGUAGUCUAGCGGUUAGAACGCUGGCCUUGUAAUCCUGGGGUCUCGGGUUCGAUUCCCGGCGGUG
rfam:Zootermopsis nevadensis contig18767, whole genome shotgun sequence.